rnacentral:lncRNA from 1 species
AUAAAAUAAAAUCAUUUCAUCUUCAUUUGAAAGGUAAAGUAGAAUUCAUAUACCCCACCAAACUUAACGAAGAGACCGCCAAGUAAACUGAAGGUUGAGAAUUCUGAUCACACUUCAUCCUGAAAAUUUGAAGCAAGAUUUCAAUCUUGAGGCACAACCAGACUCUUUACCAUGAUUCAGAAAAUAAGAUAAACUCACUCAUCCCCUGCCCAGCCAAAAGGACUCCACAGAAGAUGCUGAAACUGAAAAUAUAAAGUAA